ensembl:lncRNA GAS5 growth arrest specific 5
CUUUUCGAGGUAGGAGUCGACUCCUGUGAGGUAUGGUGCUGGGUGCAGAUGCAGUGUGGCUCUGGAUAGCACCUUAUGGACAGUUGUGUCCCCAAGGAAGGAUGAGAAUAGCUACUGAAGUCCUAAAGAGCAAGCCUAACUCAAGCCAUUGGCACACAGGCAUUAGACAGAAAGCUGGAAGUUGAAAUGGUGGAGUCCAACUUGCCUGGACCAGCUUAAUGGUUCUGCUCCUGGUAACGUUUUUAUCCAUGGAUGACUUGCUUGGGUAAGGACAUGAAGACAGUUCCUGUCAUACCUUUUAAAGGUACAUGUUUUAUUGAUGUUAACGUUAAUUGAUUGAGCUACUGUUAGUGAUGAUUUUAAAAUUAAAGCAGAUGGGAAUCUCUCUGAGAAAGAAAAUGGAGAUUAAUCUUAAACUGAAACAGUAGUUGGGAAAUCUUUUAGAAAUCCACCUAUUACUACCUAUUGGUAAAGGAGAUUAAAUUUCUACAGGUAUGGAGAGUCGGCUUGACUACACUGUGUGGAGCAAGUUUUAAAGAAGCAAAGGUAUAGCAGUUCCAAGUAUUUUUUUUUUUUUUUUAGACAAGAGUCUAGCUCUUGCCCAGAAUGGAGUGCAGCGGCACUAUCAGUUCACUGCAACCUCUGCCUCCCAGGUUCAAGGAAUUCUCCUGCCUCAGCCUCUUGAGUAGCUGGGAUUACAGGCAUGUGACACCAUGCCUGGCUAAUUUUGUACAGCUAUGUUGUCCAGGCUGGUCUCGAACUCUUGACCUCAAGUGAUACUGCCCGCACUGACCUCCCAAAGUGCUGGGAUUACAGGCGUGAGCCACCAUGCCCCGCCUCAAGUCUGGUUUUUAAGUGUUGUAAAGCCGAUACAAUGAUGAUAACAUAGUUCAGCAGACUAACGCUGAUGAGCAAUAUUAAGUCUUUCGCUCCUAUCUGAUGUAUCUGGCGGUAACAUUCUAGUUUAUGCCCCGAAAAGGGGAAUAUAGCCAUUCUAUAAUGUUUGGAGAUUUUGGAUUACUCCUAAUUGUAUGCAAGUUGUCUUACUGUGUAUUGUCCCUUAAUUUCAGGACUCAGAAUUCAUGAUUGAAGAAAUGCAGGUUAGUUUAAACUUUGAAGGAAAUUUUUAAGGUGGCAAAAGGUUUUGGUGGCAUAUACACCUUAAUCUGUAGAUGGGAGUGAUUAGCUGUUUAAAAGUUAAAAUGUGACUGAGAAGGAAAUUGAGUAGGGCAAAUUUUAAAUGGGUAUUAUUUUUCAUCUUCAAACAGGCAGACCUGUUAUCCUAAACUAGGGUUUUUAAUGACCACAACAAGCAAGCAUGCAGCUUACUGCUUGAAAGGGUCUUGCCUCACCCAAGCUAGAGUGCAGUGGCCUUUGAAGCUUACUACAGCCUCAAACUUCUGGGCUCAAGUGAUCCUCAGCCUCCCAGUGGUCUUUGUAGACUGCCUGAUGGAGUCUCAUGGCACAAGAAGAUUAAAACAGUGUCUCCAAUUUUAAUAAAUUUUUGCAAUCCA